UACGUAGGUGGCUAGCGUUGUCCGGAUUUACUGGGCGUAAAGAGCGCGCAGGCGGUCGUUCAAGUCGAGUGUGAAAGCCCCCGGCUCAACUGGGGAGGGUCACUCGAUACUGAUCGACUCGAAGGCAGGAGAGGGAAGCGGAAUUCCCGGUGUAGUGGUGAAAUGCGUAGAUAUCGGGAGGAACACCAGAGGCGAAGGCGGGUUACUGGGCUGAUACUGACGCUGAUGCGCGAAAGCCAGGGGAGCAAACGGG
rnacentral:rRNA from 1 species